rnacentral:rRNA from 1 species
UACGUAGGGGGCAAGCGUUAUCCGGAUUUAUUGGGCGUAAAGCGCGCGUAGGCGGCCGACCACGUCGGAUGUGAAAGCUCAGGGCUCAACCCUGAGAGGCCAUUCGAUACGGGUCGGCUAGAGGCAGGUAGGGGAGAAUGGAAUUCCUGGUGUAGCGGUGAAAUGCGCAGAUAUCAGGAGGAACACCGGUGGCGAAGGCAGCUCGCUGGGACGUUACUGACGCUGAGACGCGAAAGCGUGGGGAGCAAACAGG